UUGAUUCAUUUAAUAAAUCACUCAGACUGCAAUGUUACGCAAGAGUUUGGUUUGGUCCACCGGGGGGGCUCCGGAGAGCCGCCCCCGAGGCAACGCGGUCGGACAACAGUGGGUUUCGUUGCAUCCUGCCACCGCCCCGGAGGGCGGGAGGAGUUACGAUUAAUGAUCCCUCCGCAGGUUCACCUACGGAGA
rnacentral:misc_RNA from 1 species